rnacentral:rRNA from 1 species
AGUGAACGCUGGCGGUAGGCCUAACACAUGCAAGUCGAACGGCAGCACAGUAAGAGCUUGCUCUUACGGGUGGCGAGUGGCGGACGGGUGAGGAAUACAUCGGAAUCUACUUUUUCGUGGGGGAUAACGUAGGGAAACUUACGCUAAUACCGCAUACGACCUACGGGUGAAAGCAGGGGAUCUUCGGACCUUGCGCGAUUGAAUGAGCCGAUGUCGGAUUAGCUAGUUGGCGGGGUAAAGGCCCACCAAGGCGACGAUCCGUAGCUGGUCUGAGAGGAUGAUCAGCCACACUGGAACUGAGACACGGUCCAGACUCCUACGGGAGGCAGCAGUGGGGAAUAUUGGACAAUGGGCGCAAGCCUGAUCCAGCCAUACCGCGUGGGUGAAGAAGGCCUUCGGGUUGUAAAGCCCUUUUGUUGGGAAAGAAAAGCAGCAGGUUAAGACCCCGCUGUUCUGACGGGACCCAAAGAAUAAGCACCGGCUAACUUCGU